rnacentral:rRNA from 1 species
GGCCCCUUGUUUCAGGAAGAUAGGGGGUCCAGCCUGCCCGGUGACUUAUGUUAAACGGCCGCGGUAUCCUAACCGUGCAAAGGUAGCGUAAUCAUUUGCUUAUUAAUUGUGGGCUAGUAUGAAUGGCUUGACGAGGGUGAGACUGUCUCUUGGCAAAGUAUGUAGAAAUUAUUUUUUAGGUGAAGAGACCUAAAUGGGGCUAAGGGACGAUAAGACCCUAUCGAGCUUUAGUGGCAUCUCAGAAUGUGGUAAUAAUAAAUUUAUAUUUUUUUUGUGAGAGAAUCUUUGGUUGGGGCGACCGUAAAGUAAGGAAAACCUUUAGUUUCAGGUAUUGGCCGGUGGGCUAUGGAUCUGGCGUACGUGCAGAUAGAAAGAAUAAGCUACCGUAGGGAUAACAGCGUAAUACUUUUGGAGAGUUCUUAUUGAGAAAAGGGUUUGCGACCUCGAUGUUGGACUAAGAUUGCCUAAGGGUGCAGCAGCUCUUGAGGGUUGGUCUGUUCGACCAUUAAAAUCUUACA